rnacentral:rRNA from 1 species
UACGUAGGGUGCGAGCGUUAAUCGGAAUUACUGGGCGUAAAGUGUGCGCAGGCGGCCGCGCAAGUCGAGUGUGAAAGCCCCGGGCUUAACUUGGGAAUUGCGCUCGAAACUACGUGGCUGGAGUGUGGCAGAGGGAGGUGGAAUUCCACGUGUAGCAGUGAAAUGCGUAGAGAUGUGGAGGAACACCGAUGGCGAAGGCAGCCUCCUGGGCCAGCACUGACGCUCAUGCACGAAAGCGUGGGGAGCAAACAGG